rnacentral:rRNA from 1 species
GACGAACGCUGGCGGCGCGCCUAAUACAUGCAAGUCGAACGCUGAAGGAGGAGCUUGCUCUUCUGGAUGAGUUGCGAACGGGUGAGUAACGCGUAGGUAACCUGCCUGGUAGCGGGGGAUAACUAUUGGAAACGAUAGCUAAUACCGCAUAAGAGUAGAUGUUGCAUGACAUUUACUUAAAAGGUGCAAUUGCAUCACUACCAGAUGGACCUGCGUUGUAUUAGCUAGUUGGUGGGGUAACGGCUUACCAAGGCGACGAUACAUAGCCGACCUGAGAGGGUGAUCGGCCACACUGGGACUGAGACACGGCCCAGACUCCUACGGGAGGCAGCAGUAGGGAAUCUUCGGCAAUGGACGGAAGUCUGACCGAGCAACGCCGCGGGAGUGAAGAAGGGUUUCGGAUCGUAAAGCUCUGUUGUAAGAGAAGAACGAGUGUGAGAGUGGAAAGUUCACACUGUGACGGUAGCUUACCAGAAAGGGACGGCUAACUACGUG